rnacentral:tRNA from 2 species
GCGCCCGUAGCUCAAUGGAUAGAGCGUCUGACUUCGAAUCAGCAGGCUGCAGGUUCGAGUCCUGCCGGGCGCGCCA